CUCAGGAUGAACGGUGGCGGCGUGCCUAAUACAUGCAAGUCGUACGCUUUCUUUUUCCACCGGAGCUUGCUCCACCGGAAAAAGAGGAGUGGCGAACGGGUGAGUAACACGUGGGUAACCUGCCCAUCAGAAGGGGAUAACACUUGGAAACAGGUGCUAAUACCGUAUAACAAUCGAAACCCGCAUGGUUUUGAUUUGAAAGGCGCUUUCGGGUGUCGCUGAUGGAUGGACCCGCGGUGCAUUAGCUAGUUGGUGAGGUAACGGGUGGGCCAAGGCCACGAUGCAUAGCCGACCUGAGAGGGUGAUCGGCCACAUUGGGACUGAGACACGGCCCAAACUCCUACGGGAGGCAGCAGUAGGGAAUCUUCGGCAAUGGACGAAAGUCUGACCGAGCAACGCCGCGUGAGUGAAGAAGGUUUUCGGAUCGUAAAACUCUGUUGUUAGAGAAGAACAAGGAUGAGAGUAACUGUUCAUCCCUUGACGGUAUCUAACCAGAAAGCCACGGCUAACUACGUGCCAGCAGCCGCGGUAAUACGUAGGUGGCAAGCGUUGUCCGGAUUUAUUGGGCGUAAAGCGAGCGCAGGCGGUUUCUUAAGUCUGAUGUGAAAGCCCCCGGCUCAACCGGGGAGGGUCAUUGGAAACUGGGAGACUUGAGUGCAGAAGAGGAGAGUGGAAUUCCAUGUGUAGCGGUGAAAUGCGUAGAUAUAUGGAGGAACACUCAAGGCGGCUCUCUGGUCUGUAACUGACGCUGAGGCUCGAAAGCGUGGGGAGCAAACAGGAUUAGAUACCCUGGUAGUCCACGCCGUAAACGAUGAGUGCUAAGUGUUGGAGGGUUUCCGCCCUUCAGUGCUGCAGCUAACGCAUUAAGCACUCCGCCUGGGGAGUACGACCGCAAGGUUGAAACUCAAAGGAAUUGACGGGGGCCCGCACAAGCGGUGGAGCAUGUGGUUUAAUUCGAAGCAACGCGAAGAACCUUACCAGGUCUUGACAUCCUUUGACCACUCUAGAGAUAGAGCUUCCCCUUCGGGGGCAAAGUGACAGGUGGUGCAUGGUUGUCGUCAGCUCGUGUCGUGAGAUGUUGGGUUAAGUCCCGCAACGAGCGCAACCCUUAUUGUUAGUUGCCAUCAUUCAGUUGGGCACUCUAGCAAGACUGCCGGUGACAAACCGGAGGAAGGUGGGGAUGACGUCAAAACAGCAUGCCCCUUAUGGCCUGGGUUACACACGUGCUACAAAGGGAAGUACCACGAUGUGCGAAGGCGCGGGGCCUAGCCAAUUCCUUUAAGCUUC
rnacentral:rRNA from 2 species